CAGACUCCCGGCACUCAGACUCCCAGCACCCAAACUCUCUGCACCGAGACUCUCAGCACCCAGACUCCAGGAAACCAGACUCCCAGCACCCAAACUCUUGGCACCCAGACUCCCAGCACCCUGACUCUCUGCCUGGCAGGACCAGUCCCUUUCCUGGUGUCCCAUGAGCUCAGCCAGUCUGGGAGUCACAUGUGAGGGGCCAGUGGUCACAUAAACAUCGCUGAGUCUCCUUUGUGGGGCGGAGAGAAAAGAAGCCUGGGACAGACAGACACAGGUUCCGGGACUGUAACAAGAUGGCACUUGAGAUGUUAAAGAUCUGGUGGUGCUUCCCAGUCAUAUUCACCAUGAUCGGACUUUGUGCCCCUAUGCAGGAUCCACAAAUGAGCCCCAGUCAGCCGGCAGGACCCCCCAUUGCACUUUACUGGGCCCCAGCCCUUCUCUUGAUCGUGGUGUUGGCACUGGCUUUGUAUUUCCUACUGCCAUCUUGGCACAAACCUCAACUGAAAGAAGAAGAAGAGGCUGAACAUUCUGGGGGCACUUGUAUUGAUGCACUGAGCUGCUGUGGAAAGGGGGUCCCACUUGGGAGUCUGUAUGGGGCCUCCAAAAGUGCCGCGUGGGUCUAGUGAUCAGUCACCAGAGACCUGAGUGAUAAUAAUCUGCCCAAGUGGCACAUGGACUACAAACAAUGGCUGGAGGGCUAAGGGAAGGGGCACGUUUAUUAAAUGUUGCUUGUGCUCUUGUGGGGCCAAUGGAAUGGGUGGGUGGGUGGGUGGGUGCGGGUUCUGAAGAAGCCUUUGUAUAUAAAAGAAAAUGGGUUGGACUCACAAGAUGGUCAUUCCAUGCCAGAUACAAGCCAGAGUUUCUGGAGGUGAAAGAGGUGCAACACUGAGGUCAGAUCCACAGCGGAGGCAGGAGACGGGAUAACAAUCUUAUUUCAGCCACAAAGUCCCUAAAUAACUAAUAAUUGUACUUCCUGCCCCGGCUGUGCAUCCGGCUACAGAGAUUUGCCUCCUCCUCCGUGGGGUUUGGUGGGACUGCGGGUGAGUUUCAACUGGUGCAUUAUGAAACCACGGGUGGAUACACCAGGGCCACUUGGAGAUUAGGGUGAGUUAUUGUUACUGAUGGGGAGCCAAUGUUAAACUGUAACCAAUGGGUGGACUCGGGGUUCAGUUAGUUCCCAUGAGGGUCCCUGCUGGGCCACUUUCCUACAUGAGCCACAAUAUUGUUGUGACUGUAAUUCAUGUUCUACAUGGACAGUGUGGGGUUCUUAUUUAGGGUACACUAUGGGCCUGGGGAAUCUCUAUCUCUUUAUAAGGAGAGCACUUCAUGGGUUACACUAUUGAAUCAUUCUGCCCCCCAUGUGUCCAACCCUGUAACCACAAUGCAUUUCUCUGUAACUGUACCAAGCCCCUAUUCUGUACCCUUGAACUAAGAAAUAAAUAUCAAUGUUAUUUUUGUA